rnacentral:misc_RNA from 1 species
UCUCCGUAGGUGAACCUGCGGAGGGAUCAUUACAGAGUUCAUGCCCUACCGGGUAGAUCUCCCACCCUAUGUUAUUAUUACUUUGUUGCUUUGGCGGGCCGUUAGGCUCCGGCCCGACUACCGGCCCCGGCUGGUAAGCGCCCGCCAGAGGACCCAAAACCCUGAAUAUUAGUGUCGUCUGAGUACUAUAUAAUAGUUAAAACUUUCAACAACGGAUCUCUUGGUUCUGGCAGCGAUGAAGAACGCAGC